GGGGACGUAGUAUAACCUGGCUAGAAUGGUCGGCUCCAAACCGUCAGAUCUGAGUUCGAAUCUCAGCGUCCCCA
rnacentral:tRNA from 1 species